GACGGAGGGGGCUAGCGUUGUUCGGAAUAACUGGGCGUAAAGGGCGCGUAGGCGGUCUUUUAAGUCAGGCGUGAAAGCCCCGGGCUCAACCUGGGAACUGCGUUUGAGACUGAAAGACUAGAGUACUGUAGAGGAGAGUGGAAUUCCUAGUGUAGAGGUGAAAUUCGUAGAUAUUAGGAGGAACACCAGAGGCGAAGGCGGCUCUCUGGACAGUAACUGACGCUGAGGCGCGAAAGCGUGGGGAGCAAACAGG
rnacentral:rRNA from 1 species